UCUGGUGACGAUGGCAGAGAGGUCACACCUGUUCCCAUACCGAACACAGAAGUUAAGCUCUCUAGCGCCGAUGGUAGUUGGUCUUAC
rnacentral:rRNA from 2 species